UACGUAGGGUGCAGGCGUUAAUCGGAAUUACUGGGCGUAAAGCGUGCGCAGGCGGUUUUGUAAGUCAGAUGUGAAAUCCCCGGGCUUAACCUGGGAACUGCGUUUGAAACUACAAGGCUAGAGUGUGGCAGAGGGGGUGGAAUUCCACGUGUAGCAGUGAAAUGCGUAGAGAUGUGGAGGAACACCGAUGGCGAAGGCAGCCCCCUGGGUUACACUGACGCUCAGGCACGAAAGCGUGGGGAGCAAACAGG
rnacentral:rRNA from 1 species